rnacentral:rRNA from 1 species
GUUGGUAAGGUAACGGCUUACCAAGGCAACGAUGCAUAGCCGACCUGAGAGGGUGAUCGGCCACACUGGAACUGAGACACGGUCCAGACUCCUACGGGAGGCAGCAGUAGGGAAUCUUCCGCAAUGGGCGAAAGCCUGACGGAGCAACGCCGCGUGAGUGAUGAAGGUCUUCGGAUCGUAAAACUCUGUUAUUAGGGAAGAACAUAUGUGUAAGUAACUGUGCACAUCUUGACGGUACCUAAUCAGAAAGCCACGGCUAACUACGUGCCAGCAGCCGCGGUAAUACGUAGGUGGCAAGCGUUAUCCGGAAUUAUUGGGCGUAAAGCGCGCGUAGGCGGUUUUUUAAGUCUGAUGUGAAAGCCCACGGCUCAACCGUGGAGGGUCAUUGGAAACUGGAAAACUUGAGUGCAGAAGAGGAAAGUGGAAUUCCAUGUGUAGCGGUGAAAUGCGCAGAGAUAUGGAGGAACACCAGUGGCGAAGGCGACUUUCUGGUCUGUAACUGACGCUGAUGUGCGAAAGCGUGGGGAUCAAACAGGAUUAGAUACCCUGGUAGUCCACGCCGUAAACGAUGAGUGCUAAGUGUUA